AACUACACCACCUGCUCUCAAGAUGCGUGCAUGUCGUCUUGUGGCGGCAAAGUCAACUCUUGCGGCACGUGUUGACUCGAUCAGAGGUGAUCCAUCUGGCAAACAAGGAAGAGCAUAUCGUGAAGAAAUUCGUAAGAAGAUUGAAAAAUGGCAAGAACCACCCCCCCGCAAAGCAACCUAAACCAUUUCCGGUCCCUGAUUCUGAACCUAAGAAGAAACGAGGUGGUUGCCGCCUUAGGAAAAUGAAGGAAAGAUAUGCUAUUACCGAUAUGCGGAAACUGGUCAACAGAAUGCAGUUUGGAGUGCCUGAAGAAAGUUCAUUGGGGGAUGGGUUAGGAGAAGGAUAUGGUAUGCUUGGUCAAGCUGGAAACGGGAGGUUGCGUGUGUCGGUUGGUCAAAGCAAGCUUGCUGCCAAAGUCGCUAAAAAGU